rnacentral:rRNA from 1 species
UACGUAGGGGGCAAGCGUUGUCCGGAAUCAUUGGGCGUAAAGAGCGUGUAGGCGGCCUGAUAAGUCGGCUGUGAAAACUCGAGGCUCAACCUCGAGACGUCGGCGGAAACCAUCUGGCUAGAGUCCGGAAGAGGAGAGUGGAAUUCCUGGUGUAGCGGUGAAAUGCGCAGAUAUCAGGAAGAACACCCGUGGCGAAGGCGGCUCUCUGGGACGGUACUGACGCUGAGACGCGAAAGCGUGGGGAGCGAACAGG